rnacentral:lncRNA from 1 species
GGAGCAGAAGGAUGAAGAGGAAAUCAGCCCAUAAAGUGUAUAAUAACCAACCUAGUACGAAUCGUACCUGUAAAUAUUCGUUUUCUAUUUGAAUUAGGGAUAGAGUUCUAGUCAGAUAAGGAGUCGUCUGUACGGGGCUAUAAAUAGCUACCUUUGUAGAUCUGUAAUCAUCAACAAAUCAAUACAACAAACUACUAUUUCUUCGUAUUUACUUUCAAGCAGGCGACUUUGCCAAAUACUUUCUUCUUUUUCACGAGUUCGUACGGGUUGGCGGGGCUGUAUCAACUUGACCUCCGGCCGAUCUUGUAAGUUCCGUUUACCGAGUAAAUUCUAAGCUUUAACUUCGGGCGCAUCACUGUCGUUUCGUUUAGAUUUAUUCACUAGUUAUCGAUAUUUUGUUGUUUAAUUUACUUAUUUUACAUAUAGCCGAUUAGAUCUAUUCCUGGUGUUGUUACUAUAGCAUUGUGUUGAUUACUCCAGUAGUUUUUGUCUACACUGCUACAGUAAUCGGUUGCUUCAUAGCCGAUUUCUUUAUUACGGCAAAUCGGCCGAUUCGCUGAUAAGCUCCCUCGAGAUCGGAAAUUUAGCCGAUCGUGACUU